CGCCCCUCCCCCACCCCCCCCGGCCGUGUUCGCGCUGCAUCACCAUGGAUACGGUCACGUGGCACAGCCGCACGUGCCCGGCCCCGCCCAUCCCCCCCCCCAGGUGAUGCUGCUCCACGCCCCUCCCCCUCCCCAGGCCCCGCCCCAGCCCGGGGGGGGCGCGGUGGGGGUGGGGCCGAUGCCGGCCCAGAGCCCCGCCCCCUUCGGCUUCAUCGGCCACGCCCCAGUUCAGUCCCAGCAGCUCCAGUUCCACCCCCCCGGGAACUGACGGACACGCGGGGGGGCGGGGCCUCUGCCCCUCCCCCACCCGCCCCUCCCCCACCCCCGUUUUGUAUUAAUUUAUAGUGGGGGG